UACGUAGGAGGCGAGCGUUGUCCGGAAUUACUGGGCGUAAAGAGCGCGUAGGCGGCGCUGUACGACCGCUGUGAAAGCCCCCGGCUCAACUGGGGAGGUCAGCGGUAACGGCAGUGCUACGAGUGCAGGAGAGGGAAGUGGAACUCCGGGAGUAGCGGUGAAAUGCGUAGAUACCCGGAGGAACACCAGUGGCGAAGGCGGCUUCCUGGUC
rnacentral:rRNA from 1 species